GGUUAAGCGACUAAGCGUACACGGUGGAUGCCCUGGCAGUCAGAGGCGAUGAAGGACGUGCUAAUCUGCGAAAAGCGUCGGUAAGGUGAUAUGAACCGUUAUAACCGGCGAUGUCCGAAUGGGGAAACCCAGUGCAAUUCGUUGCACUAUCGUUUGAUGAAUACAUAGUCAAACGAGGCGAACCGGGGGAACUGAAACAUCUAAGUACCCCGAGGAAAAGAAAUCAACCGAGAUUCCCCCAGUAGCGGCGAGCGAACGGGGAGCAGCCCGGAGUCUGAAUCAGCUUGUGUGUUAGUGGAAGCGUCUGGAAAGUCGCAGGGUACAGGGUGAUACUCCCGUACACUAAAACACACAGGCUGUGAACUCGAAGAGUAGGGCGGGACACGUGGUAUCCUGUCUGAAUAUGGGGGGACCAUCCUCCAAGGCUAAAUACUCCUGACUGACCGAUAGUGAACCAGUACCGUGAGGGAAAGGCGAAAAGAACCCCGGCGAGGGGAGUGAAAAAGAACCUGAAACCGUGUACGUACAAGCAGUAGGAGCCCACUAGUUGGGUGACUGCGUACCUUUUGUAUAAUGGGUCAGCGACUUAUAUUCUGUAGCAAGGUUAACCGUAUAGGGGAGCCGCAGGGAAACCGAGUCUUAACUGGGCGUUAAGUUGCAGGGUAUAGACCCGAAACCCGGUGAUCUAGCCAUGGGCAGGUUGAAGGUUGGGUAACACUAACUGGAGGACCGAACCGACUAAUGUUGAAAAAUUAGCGGAUGACUUGUGGCUGGGGGUGAAAGGCCAAUCAAACCGGGAGAUAGCUGGUUCUCCCCGAAAGCUAUUUAGGUAGCGCCUCGUGAACUCAUCUUCGGGGGUAGAGCACUGUUUCGGCUAGGGGGUCAUCCCGACUUACCAACCCGAUGCAAACUACGAAUACCGAAGAAUGUUAUCACGGGAGACACACGGCGGGUGCUAACGUCCGUCGUGAAGAGGGAAACAACCCAGACCGCCAGCUAAGGUCCCAAAGUCAUGGUUAAGUGGGAAACGAUGUGGGAAGGCCCAGACAGCCAGGAUGUUGGCUUAGAAGCAGCCAUCAUUUAAAGAAAGCGUAAUAGCUCACUGGUCGAGUCGGCCUGCGCGGAAGAUGUAACGGGGCUAAACCAUGCACCGAAGCUGCGGCAGCGACACUAUGUGUUGUUGGGUAGGGGAGCGUUCUGUAAGCCGUUGAAGGUGGCCUGUGAGGGUUGCUGGAGGUAUCAGAAGUGCGAAUGCUGACAUAAGUAACGAUAAUGCGGGUGAAAAACCCGCACGCCGGAAGACCAAGGGUUCCUGUCCAACGUUAAUCGGGGCAGGGUGAGUCGACCCCUAAGGCGAGGCCGAAAGGCGUAGUCGAUGGGAAACAGGUUAAUAUUCCUGUACUUGGUGUUACUGCGAAGGGGGGACGGAGAAGGCUAUGUUGGCCGGGCGACGGUUGUCCCGGUUUAAGCAUGUAGGCGGAUGUUCCAGGUAAAUCCGGAACGUCACUAACGCUGAGGUGUGAUGACGAGGCACUACGGUGCUGAAGUGACAAAUGCCCUGCUUCCAGGAAAAGCCUCUAAGCAUCAGGUAACAUCAAAUCGUACCCCAAACCGACACAGGUGGUCAGGUAGAGAAUACCAAGGCGCUUGAGAGAACUCGGGUGAAGGAACUAGGCAAAAUGGUGCCGUAACUUCGGGAGAAGGCACGCUGAUGGUAAGUGAAGUGACUUGCUCAUGGAGCUGAAAUCAGUCGAAGAUACCAGCUGGCUGCAACUGUUUAUUAAAAACACAGCACUGUGCAAACACGAAAGUGGACGUAUACGGUGUGACGCCUGCCCGGUGCCGGAAGGUUAAUUGAUGGGGUUAUCCUCACGGAGAAGCUCUUGAUCGAAGCCCCGGUAAACGGCGGCCGUAACUAUAACGGUCCUAAGGUAGCGAAAUUCCUUGUCGGGUAAGUUCCGACCUGCACGAAUGGCGUAAUGAUGGCCAGGCUGUCUCCACCCGAGACUCAGUGAAAUUGAACUCGCUGUGAAGAUGCAGUGUACCCGCGGCAAGACGGAAAGACCCCGUGAACCUUUACUAUAGCUUGACACUGAACACUGGUCCUUGAUGUGUAGGAUAGGUGGGAGGCUUUGAAGUGUGGACGCCAGUCUGCAUGGAGCCAUCCUUGAAAUACCACCCUUUAAUGGCUGGUGUUCUAACGUGGGCCCCUAAUCGGGGUUGCGGACAGUGUCUGGUGGGUAGUUUGACUGGGGCGGUCUCCUCCUAAAGAGUAACGGAGGAGCACGAAGGUCAGCUAAUCCUGGUCGGACAUCAGGAGGUUAGUGCAAUGGCAUAAGCUGGCUUGACUGCGAGCGUGACGGCGCGAGCAGGUGCGAAAGCAGGUCAUAGUGAUCCGGUGGUUCUGAAUGGAAGGGCCAUCGCUCAACGGAUAAAAGGUACUCCGGGGAUAACAGGCUGAUACCGCCCAAGAGUUCAUAUCGACGGCGGUGUUUGGCACCUCGAUGUCGGCUCAUCACAUCCUGGGGCUGAAGUAGGUCCCAAGGGUAUGGCUGUUCGCCAUUUAAAGUGGUACGCGAGCUGGGUUUAGAACGUCGUGAGACAGUUCGGUCCCUAUCUGCCGUGGGCGCUGGAGAAUUGAGGGGGGCUGCUCCUAGUACGAGAGGACCGGAGUGGACGCAUCACUGGUGUUCGGGUUGUCAUGCCAAUGGCAUUGCCCGGUAGCUAAAUGCGGAAGAGAUAAGUGCUGAAAGCAUCUAAGCACGAAACUUGCCCCGAGAUGAGUUCUCCCUGACCCUUUAAGGGUCCUGAAGGAACGUUGAAGACGACGACGUUGAUAGGCCGGGUGUGUAAGCGCAGCGAUGCGUUGAGCUAACCGGUACUAAUGAACCGUGAGGCUUAACCUU
rnacentral:rRNA from 1 species